ACCUCGCUGCAUAAUAUCUUGUUCUGACAACAUUCCAAACACCAAUUUUCACAGAACAGCUGGAGGUGACAGAAGCAGCCAAGGUUGCUGAAAUACUUGGACUUUUUAAAAAUAUAAUAUAAAUCAACUACAGCCCACUGAGAACUGCAAGUUGACAGUCAUGACAUUCUAACAAAGAUAGCGACAGCAUUCAGCCUCUUCCAGCUGUGACUCUCUCACAGAUAAAUUUAUCAACUUGCCUCAAAAGUGUUACCGGUGAUAUCAAAUUCUGGUGGAACAAAGGCACCUUCUGGAUCAUCUUUGAAAACAAAAGGAAACAUGCCAGAUUAGAAAUUAGUCUUGUUUACAAAA